UUCCAUUGAUUGCUUGUGUCUGUAGUCUUGUAAUUAGCUUUCGUCUUUCUGGUUUAGAGAAUCCUAAUUUCUCAAGAUGUGUAUGUCUUUAUGUAUAUA